rnacentral:antisense_RNA from 1 species
AUGCGAGCUGUAGGAGUGCGGCGGGACGUGGAAAUCGAAUCUGUGCUCUGUGAGAGAUCCUAGGAGAGGAAACUGGGAGCCCAGGAGAACUAAAAUUCCCAAUUAAAAGUGAAUUUAAGUCUGAGCUGUUCUUAGACCCAGAAUUUCUUGCCUGAAGGAGGAGUCAGGUCCCCACAAGGAAAGACCCUGCAACUGUAUAAAAAAAGAAUCUAAAAAGAUCAUGACUCCUUCAGUCCUUUCCCAAAGAGACCUAUGGAAAUUUCCUCAGGAAGAGGGACCAAGCAAAAUCCCAGAAGAGUUGAUCUCAAAGCUUAUUUCAUGAAGAAAAUUGACCUGAGUGACACAAAGGGUUGGACUGUAGUAGAUGUCACGUUUUGCUGCCUAGAUCUCCAUCCAGGGAUGAACUCUUAUUUCCUCAGCUUCUUUGUUUCCUCAGCUUCUGGGAGGGUUGGCAGCUGACAUUCUCACCUGAGUCCCUUUCUAGGACUUGCCCUUGCCUGAAGAGAGCUGUGUUGCCCAACAUGAUGCCUCCUCCAAGGUACAAUCCACACCCACUGACUAAUAAACAGGGGUUACAAAGGCAUGCCUGCUUGCCCCAAUUUGGGACAACUUUACCAGGCCAACCCAGCCUCAAGGCUCUCUGCAGGAACAGGUGAGGCCAUAGUUGUGACUACAUCACAGUUCAGUUUCUCCUCUGCCCAAGCCUUCUUCCUUCAUUCCUCCACAGAUGUUGAUCCUGAGAUUCCUUUCCAGUAAACUUCCUCCAUGCAAUCUUCAUCUCAGAGUCUCUUUCCUGGGGAAACUAACCUGCAACUGAUACAAAUGCCUAUUCUGUGAGAUAAAACACUAAAAGUACAAUGCGAGUGGUAUAAAUAUUCUGCUACAGAAAUACAAAGUCAGAUAUCAUUUUUGACUUAGGUAGUCAGAGAAUGGAGAUAUUCUGAGUUCGACUUCUGAGAUAGUAGGAUUCAAUAGGUGAAGGGAAGAUGAGAUGGUAUAAGACUAACAUAGGCAGAAUUUUGCUAAACGAAUUGGAGAUGAAACAUCAUAAGUGCAGGUGCACAAGUAGAAAAGUAAAAUCAGAGCUCAAGGAAGGGGAAGUGAUCCAGCUGGGCAGAAAUAUGGGGCCUAUAUAGAGACAUACCAGGAAAUAAAGCCAGGUCGAAUGGCAGGGUAGGACCUGAUUGUUAAGGGUCUUAAGUGCUGGGGUCAAGAUUGUGGUCCUUACUUAAAAGUUGGUUGGGCAUGAUUUUGGGAGUUGUAACAAAAGAUGUGGCAAACUCAAAGCUUCUUUUUCAUGUAAAGUAUAGAGAAGUGGAGGUUCGUAUCAUUAAAUCACCGUAAUUUCAGUGUGAACUUCUAACAAUUUGAGCUAACCAUGAGAUAGGACACCUUAUCAAGCAAUGAACUCUCCAUUAUCUAAACAGAAGCUGAAUUUCAAGUCCAUGUAGAGGAAGUCUUGUGUUGACUAGAACAUAAUAUGUUUGAGGGGACUUUUCUUCUUUUUUACUGAUAUUUACUAACUUGGAUAUUGUGCUAAGUGCUUUACAGGUAUUCUUAUUUAAUCCUCACAAGGCAGUAUGGUAGAUUAUCUAUUAUAUUGAAAAUAAUGGGCCAGGCACAGUGACUCACGCCUGUAAUCCCAGCACUUUGGGAGGCCGAGGCGGGUGGGUCACCUGAGGUCAGGAGUUCAAGACCAGCCUGACCAACAUGGUGAAACCCUAUCUUUACUAAAAAUACAAAAAUAAGCCUGGCGUAGUAGCUCACACCUGUAGUCCCAGCUACUCGGAAGGCUGAAGCACGAGAAUCACUUGAACCCACCAGGUGGAGGUUACAGUGAGCCAAAAUCACACCACUGGACUCCAGCCUGGGCAAGAGAGCAUGACUAGGUCUCAAAAGAAAGAAAUAAAGAAAGAAAAUAAUGAACAAAAAAUGCUGAGUGGACAGUAUUAAAUUAAAAAAAUGUAUUAAAGAAGGAGAAAAGUACAAAAAUUAGUCAACAAGCAGAGAAAGAAAGAAAAUAUAAAGGCAAAAAUGUAUAUUAUCCAAAUGAGGCCUCUUUCUUAAGAAGAAAAAAUUGAGGAAAUUCAAAACAUAAGUUAGGAAAUAGUGAGUAAAAUUAUGAAGUUAAAAAUUCACCAAAAAUUUAUUGAUAGGUCCAAGUUCAGUUUGUAGUGAACAGACUCUUCUUAUGCAGAAUUUGAGCAAAGUGCUAACAAAACAGAGUUAGGUAAUGGGAUGAGGGUCAGUCAGAUCACUCUAUUUUUGGAAACUGUUUUCAUGACUGCUUCCCCUUAGUCAUAGACAGGCUAUAUAAAAAGCUGUCAGAGUGGAAAGAGGGAAAGGAUUUGUGAAAUUUUUUUUUUCUUUUAGCAAGUUGUUAAGGUUCUGUAAAUCACCACCCUCCCAAAGGGAUGAAGUUUCGGGGUGCACUCCCCUGACCUCAGCCUAGUAGGGGGACUUCCAGGAGAUAAUGAGAGACUUUGAUGUUUCCUCAAAUUUAUAGACACAAAGACUGGUGCCUGGCUUCUCCUGAUAAAGCUAAACCUGCAUGUGGCUGGUCUCUAGUUGGCUAGAUAGUAGUAGUUAAAAUGAAAAGAAACACUUAAUGUUAGAUGCCGUCCAAUAGGGCCACCUAAAGCGAUGGAAGGUUCUCAGCAGCAAGAGCCCAGAGGUAGAAGCAAGACUCUUAGGGGGUAAGGAUGGAGUGGCAAGUGAAAACCUAGACAAAGAAGCAUCUGUCCUGGUCCAGAGGCUUCCCCAAUAAAGAUGUCUCACACAACUCUAAGAAGUUAGAACUCAAGAAAAAGACUAACAAGAAAAAGAGGGGUGUGUGUGUGGAAGAGGUGAGGCAGUUGUUUUCCUAUAAAUAAUGUUAAAUUAAACUAAAUUUGGUCUGAGGAUGCCUCGUAACUUGAGUCGCUACAUAACAAACUGCAACCUAACUUAGGAGUAUUUUUUUUUUGUACUAACAAGGUGAGUCUCAGCCAAUCACAGCAGCUAAGCUACAGCCAAUCCCAUGUGGCCAACUGAUCAGCCCAUGCCCAGUAAGUCAACUGCUCACCUGUAACUACUCAAGCUGCUUCUUGACCUCAUUUCCAUUUGCUGUUUAUAAGUGCUGCCUGCCCACCUUGCUGAGCAGAUCUCUCUGAACUUCUUUCGUUUUUGAGGGUUACUUGAUUAGAAAAUUGUUCUUUGUUCAAUUAAACUUUGCUAAAUAU